AAGUAAAAAGUUCAUAUUGCAAAUUUCCCGUAGACGCAUCUCAACACUCACAGCACAGUAUAAUGAUCUCAUGUAUUAAAUAAAUUAAUUUACAGAAUAAAAAAAAAAGAAUUUUAGCACGUAGCUCCCCUAUAUCACUUUAAAUUUGUUGAUUUUUCUUCAAAAAAUUUACGAAAAGUCCAUUGGGUUGCAUGUUACCUGCUGACGAAGAGAAUAGCACUGUCUAUGGAAAACCAUGCAAUGUUAUUUAGGAAUUUAGGGGCGGAUUGAUAUUGUUUUGAAUACUAAAAAAGAAUUAUAUUUAAGCUCCAUGUUAUUCAAGAGAAGUAUUUGAGCGACAAGCCAUGCGCGGAUAACACCAUUGAGUUUAAAUUACUAUUGCUCGAACGUGGCAAUAUUUUAACUUCUCCAAUUUAUGUUCAGGCCCAAUAAACACGUGCAAAGAAAGCUAUUGAGUAGCAUAGACAAUUAUCUAGGUCAAUCAUAAAUAUGUCUAACUCUGUACAUUAACCAUAAGAAGAAUUAUUCAUCGUUAUAAGGAAUGGCUGCGUUCUCCUUAUUUUUUUACAAUAUUUAUGUAUAUACUUAAUCACGUUAAUAUAGCUUACGAGUAUACUGAUUGCAACAUUGUGUUUCGCUAAAUAUAUAUCGUUUCGCUACGAACUGCUCUUUAGUUUUCAAGGAUGCAAUAAAAUACCGUAAAAGUUCUCCAUUUUACCGGAAUAUUGCUGUAUUCAGAAUGCGCCCCUGGAGAUGUUUAUUGAUAUGUAUACAUA